rnacentral:rRNA from 1 species
GACGAACGCUGGCGGCGCGCCUAACACAUGCGAGUCGAACGAGCGAGAGAGAGCUUGCUUUCUUGAGCGAGUGGCGAACGGGUGAGUAACGCGUGAGGAACCUGCCUCAAAGAGGGGGACAACAGUUGGAAACGACUGCUAAUACCGCAUAAGCCCACGGUGCCGCAUGGCACAGAGGGAAAAGGAGCAAUCCGCUUUGAGAUGGCCUCGCGUCCGAUUAGCUAGUUGGUGAGGUAACGGCCCACCAAGGCGACGAUCGGUAGCCGGACUGAGAGGUUGAACGGCCACAUUGGGACUGAGACACGGCCCAGACUCCUACGGGAGGCAGCAGUGGGGAAUAUUGCACAAUGGGGGAAACCCUGAUGCAGCGACGCCGCGUGGAGGAAGAAGGUCUUCGGAUUGUAAACUCCUGUUGUUGGGGAAGAUAAUGACGGUACCCAACAAGGAAGUGACGGCUAACUACGUG